UUCAUGCAGCAAAGGCAGAGGCCAGAAUGGGGAGCAGCCAGGGCCUCCUAGAAACAGCUGGCAACAACUCUGGGGUAUUUAAAGAGCUAUAUUAUGGACGUGAAUUCUCAGCCCCACUCAAGCCUUCAAAUGACUAUAGUCCUAGCUGAUAUUUGACUACAACUGCAUGGGAGAUUUUGAGCUAUCACCACUCUGCUUAGCUGCUACAAAUUCCUGAUCCCCAGAAACUGUGAGCUAAUAGGGGACGUUAAGGCAACUCCAGCUUGAUCAGUUUCCAGGAAAUUCCAGAUCCCAUGGUCUAAACCAAUCUAAACAGCACCUCGAAGAGUUCUGACUUCAAAAGUGGCACUUAACACUCCUUCCAGACGUUUGGAUAUUUACCUAGAAGAAGGAAAGGUUCUGGACUUGACUCAAGAGGUGAUAAUUCCAGGAGGACAAGGUCCUGCCUUACACUCCAUUUGAUGAAGCUUCAGUUUCAGCUUGACCAUCAGGCAUAACCGAGUUCGACUUUAUGGAAGCAUCAGUGAUGUGAGGAAGCCACAUGCACAAAAUCUCUUUCCUAACCAGGCCGGAAUAAAAUGAUCCAACAUUCAA